UCCGGUUUGUCACCGGCAGUCCCAUUAAAGUGCCCAACUAAAUGAUGGCAAUUAAUGGCAAGGGUUGCGCUCGUUGCGGGACUUAACCCAACAUCUCACGACACGAGCUGACGACAGCCAUGCAGCACCUGUGUUACGGUUCCCUUUCGGGCACCAAUCCAUCUCUGGAAAGUUCCGUGGAUGUCAAGACCAGGUAAGGUUCUUCGCGUUGCAUCGAAUUAAACCACAUGCUCCACCGCUUGUGCGGGCCCCCGUCAAUUCAUUUGAGUUUUAACCUUGCGGCCGUACUCCCCAGGCGGUCAACUUAGUGCGUUAGCUGCGCCACUAAGGAUUCAAGAUCCCCAACGGCUAGUUGACAUCGUUUACGGCGUGGACUAC
rnacentral:misc_RNA from 1 species